AGUUUGACCUCCUGGCUCAGGAUGAACGCUAGCGGCAGGCUUAACACAUGCAAGUCGAGGGGCAGCGGGGUGUAGCAAUACACUGCCGGCGACCGGCGCACGGGUGCGUAACGCGUAUGCAACCUACCCAUAACAGGGGCAUAACACUGAGAAAUUGGUACUAAUUCCCCAUAACAUUCGAAGAGGCAUCUCUUUGGGUUGAAAAACUCCGGUGGUUAUGGAUGGGCAUGCGUUGUAUUAGCUAGUUGGUGGGG
rnacentral:rRNA from 1 species